CAAAAUAAAAAAUGGUACCAAUAGCGCCUAAUAACGAGUAUAACUACCAGCAAUUCGUCUUAAUCUUCAAGUCACAUCAAACUUUUGUUUGAGAUUGGAACCCUAAUCGCCAUGGCAGAAUCGAAAAUUUGGGGGUUUUGCUCAAAUCCGAAAAGUUUGAGCUCGAAAUCGACUGGGGGUGUUCUAAUCUUGUUGGUACAGCUUGAUUGAGGUGAAAUCUGAAGCACUGGAUCAGAUUGCGGCUGUUUUGGAAAGUUUUGCUUAGAAUUUCAACGCGGUUCUCAAAGGAGAAGUCGACUGGGAUUUUUCGAUUCAGGGAUCGUUGGAGCAAAUUGAGUACUAGGCUUUUGCUCGAAUUGUUGAAUGGAGCUCGUAUGUCAAAAUUGAACUCAGUUGGUGAAGCUUCAGUGCAUUUGGGAUCGAAUUUUUGCAGCUGCUGUGCGAAGAGCAGAGCUUCAGAUUUUCCUCUAAGUACAGCUAUUACGUGCCCUACGCAACGUAUUUACACAUCGACGCGUAGCUGAUUCCAAUAAUUCAUCAUUGAAGAUUGAACAUGUUAGAUUUCUGAAGUUUAAUCUUAGUUCGAUUUCUGAAAGUUGAAAGGAUUUGAGUUUCAACUGAACUACUACUUCGUUCUAAAUAAUUGAUUUGAAUGAAUUCGACUUGUGUUGCUUAGCUUGAUUUCUGAGUAUUGAUCUGAAAUCUGUCGUAGCUACUACAAAUUUGAAACUCCAUUUGUGUUCAAUUUGUUGCUGCCAAUUGUGAUCUAUAUCCUUGAUUGAGUUUCUGAGUUGUUAACUGAAAACUUCAUCGAUAGCUUGGUUGAAUAAUCUCUGUGUGCGAUGCUAUGUUGAACUGGUUGUCUUCUUGAUGACCUGUGUGAUUCUUGAGUUUGAAUUUUGAAUUAACACUUGUUGAUUGAUGCUACGAUUGAACAAUCGUUUCUGUUCUUCAGAAUUGCAGCAGUAGAAAUUUCACUGUGAGCUUCGACAUUCAAGUUGUAUACUGUAAAAUCGGAGGGUCCAAUUUUCCAUCGUUAUCACACCUCGAAGGCUCGGAAUCACGGUCGAGUUUCAUCUCUCGAGGGCCAUCGACGCUCGACCUCGGGACAGUAUGAGGCCGACGAUCAUGGGAAGAAAAUGGGGAGUUCCCAAGGCGUGGAGCUAGAGCCGACAAAAUCUGUCAGGCUAGUCUGAGCUCGUAUCGUGGCAUUAACUAGGUGUCCCAUCUCCAUAUCUUUGUAAUAAAUGCACUUGUACUAUGUUGGGAUCCUUGUCAUUUUUUAAACAUCUGUUGCCUCCAUACUAAAUAUACAAGAACAUUCCCUCUUCUCUCUAACACAUUCUCUUGGUCUCGUUAUCUCAUUUAUUGCCCAUAUUUAUUGUGUUCUAUUUAUUGUUCAUCAUUUACUACUUAUUAUUGGCCAUAAAGAGCCCCCUU
rnacentral:lncRNA from 1 species